rnacentral:lncRNA from 1 species
GGAAUUACCUUUUUCUUAGUUUUAUCUUUAAUUAAUUUGUAACUAUAGUGUAAAAUGCUAAAUUUUUCCAAGUGAUCGUAAUUAUAAUGAUAUAUAAAAAACUAAAUUUAAUUCUAUUAUGUGUGAUCUUUGCAUAUCAUCUCCUGUUUUAUUUCUUUAGUUGCAUCUAAGAUUGAUAAGUGAAAAAUUAAACAAUCAGCCU